GCAGUAGUGAUUCAGUGGUAGAAUUCUUGCCUUCCACGUAGGAGCCCUGGUUUUGAUUUCCAGCCAGUGCA
rnacentral:tRNA from 1 species